UACGGAGGGCGCAAGCGUUGCUCGGAAUCACUGGGCGUAAAGGGUGCGUAGGCGGCCGGGCAAGUCUGGCGUGAAAGCCCCGGGCUCAGCCCGGGAAGGGCGCUCGAAACGGCGCGGCUCGAGUGCCGGAGGGGAGAGUGGAAUUCCUGGUGUAGCGGUGAAAUGCGUAGAUAUCAGGAGGAAUACCGGUGGCGAAGGCGUGCUGCUGGGCCGUUGCUGACGCUGAGGCGCGAAAGCGUGGGGAGCAAACAGG
rnacentral:rRNA from 1 species